GGGUCAGGGCUGGGGAUUGGCGGCUGUUUAGAGGUCACAAGCCCUCCCAGCGCUGCCGCUGUAUUAAACCGCUCCCCGGGAAAAGGCGGGGGGGGCCGGUCUCUCAGCGGGGGAAAAGGAGGAGGGGCGGGGAGACGGUCUGCCUGGCCCCGGGGACCUCCUUAACUUGGGCUGGAGAGGGCGGAAGCGGCCCCGGGGCAGGCUGGGAGAUGUAGUUCCUGACGCUCUCUGCACAGGAAGUGACGUCGGCGGGGGAGGUGGAGCCGGGUUCCCAGCGCGCGCGGGGCCGUUGGAGCCUCUCCCGGGGCCGGAGAAGGGUGUGUGACUGAGAUCAGGGCUCUUAUCAUACUGAGCGUGGCCUUGUUCUGCCAGGUGCUGAUGAGACCCCGAGAUCUGGGCCUUGUUCUGCCAGGCGCUGCGGAGACCCCAACUGAGAUCUGGACCCUGUUCUGCCAGGCACUGAAGAGACCCGAGAAUAACGUCCACGUUUUGCUCCAGAUCAUCCCAUCCUCCCAGGGGGAAGGCAAUGGCUGCAAUGGAGCUGGCUCAGGUAAGGGAUUCUCAGGGAGCUGGUGGUGGGUUCUGCUUGGAGGGAGAGAAGCGUUAAAUGUAUAGGAGGGUGGGAGUCAGUGAUGAGCUGCCAAAAUAUUAACAACAGGUUCCUUCGUCCUCACUUCACGAGGGGCUCAUUCCCCCCUGGGGGUCGUGCCCCAUCCAACCCCCCCUGUUCCUUGACACGCCCCCCCAGGGA